UGCCAGCAGCCGCGGUAAUACAUAGGGUGCGAGCGUUGUUCGGAAUUACUGGGCGUAAAGGGCGCGCAGGCGGAAUAGUAAGUCGGAGGUGAAAGCCCGGGGCUCAACCCCGGGGGGUCUUUCGAAACUGCUAAUCUAGAGAGGGUCAGGGGCCGGCAGAAUUCCUGGUGUAGAGGUGAAAUUCGUAGAUAUCAGGGGGAAUACCGGUGGCGAAAGCGGCCGGCUGGGACCACUCUGACGCUGAGGCGCGAAAGCGUGGGGAGCAAACAGGAUUAGAUA
rnacentral:rRNA from 1 species